rnacentral:rRNA from 1 species
UACGAAGGGGGGCUAGCGUUGCUCGGAAUCACUGGGCGUAAAGCGCACGUAGGCGGAUCUUUAAGUCAGGGGUGAAAUCCCGAAGCUCAACUUCGGAACUGCCUUUGAUACUGGGGAUCUUGAGUUCGAGAGAGGUGAGUGGAACUGCGAGUGUAGAGGUGAAAUUCGUAGAUAUUCGCAAGAACACCAGUGGCGAAGGCGGCUCACUGGCC